rnacentral:rRNA from 1 species
CCUACGGGAGGCAGCAGUGAGGAAUAUUGGUCAAUGGGAGAGAUCCUGAACCAGCCAAGCCGCGUGAGGGAGACGGCCCUAUGGGGUUUAAACCUCUUUUGUUCGGGGACCAAAACCGGGGCGUGUUCCCGAACGCGUGUAACCGAAGAAAAAGCAUCGGCUAACUCCGUGCCAGCAGCCGCGGUAAUACGGGGGAUGCGAGCGUUAUCCGGAUUUAUUGGGUUUAAAGGGUGCGUAGGCGGUCCGGUAAGUCAGCGGUAAAAUUGCGGGGCUCAACCCCGUCGAGCCGUUGAAACUGGCAGACUUGAGUUGGCGAGAAGUACGCGGAAUGCGCGGUGUAGCGGUGAAAUGCAUAGAUAUCGCGCAGAACUCCGAUUGCGAAGGCAGCGUACCGGCGCCAGACUGACGCUGAGGCACGAAAGCGUGGGGAUCGAACAGGAUUAGAUACCCUAGUAGUC